UACGGAGGGGGCGAGCGUUAUUCGGAAUUAUUGGGCGUAAAGGGCGCGUAGGCGGCCCGGUAAGUCAAAGGUGAAAUCCCUCGGCUCAACUGAGGAACUGCCUUUGAAACUGUCGGGCUUGAGGCCGGGAGGGGGUAGCGGAAUUCCCAGUGUAGCGGUGAAAUGCGUAGAUAUUGGGAGGAACACCGGUGGCGAAGGCGGCUACCUGGACCGGUUGCUGACGCUGAUGC
rnacentral:rRNA from 1 species